AUUGAACGCUGGCGGCAGGCCUAACACAUGCAAGUCGAGCGGAUGAAGGGAGCUUGCUUCUGGAUUCAGCGGCGGACGGGUGAGUAAUGCCUAGGAAUCUGCCUGGUAGUGGGGGAUAACGUUCGGAAACGGGCGCUAAUAUCGCAUACGUCCUGCGGGAGAAAGUGGUGGAUCUUCGGAACUCACGCUAUCAGAUGAGCCUAGGUCGGAUUAGCUAGUUGUUGGGGUAAAGGCCUACCAAGGCGACGAUCCGUAACUGGUCUUAGAGGAUGAUCCUGCACACUGGAACUGAGACACGGUCCAGACUCCUACGGGAGGCAGCAGUGGGGAAUAUUGGACGAUGGGCGAAAGCCUGAUCCAGCCAUGCCGCGUGUGUGAAGAAGGUCUUCGGAUUGUAAAGCACUUUAAGUUGGGAGGAAGGGCAGUAAGUUAAUACCUUGCUGUUUUGACGUUACCAACAGAAUAAGCACCGGCUAACUUCGUG
rnacentral:rRNA from 1 species